AAACGAGCAGUAAAACCUCUACAGGCUUGUAGCUCAGGUGGUUAGAGCGCACCCCUGAUAAGGGUGAGGUCGGUGGUUCAAGUCCACUCAGGCCUACCAGAUUCGCUCCYGUGCUUUGUUGUGGCAAAGCUCGCAUACUUCAGUAUGCUUCGCUUCACCACGCCGCGCCCGGAAACGAAUCAAAGGUAAGAGGUUCUGACUACACGAUGGGGCUAUAGCUCAGCUGGGAGAGCGCCUGCUUUGCACGCAGGAGGUCUGCGGUUCGAUCGUCACACUAUCAUUAACUGAAUCCAUAGGUUAAUGAGGCGAACCGGGGGAACUGAAACAUCUAAGUACCCCGAGGAAAAGAAAUCAACCGAGAUUCCCCCAGUAGCGGCGAGCGAACGGGGAGGAGCCCAGAGCCUGAAUCAGCAUGUGUGUUAGUGGAAGCGUCUGGAAAGGCGCGCGAUACAGGGUGACAGCCCCGUACACAAAAGCGCAURUGCUGUGAGCUCGAUGAGUAGGGCGGGACACGUGGUAUCCUGUCUGAAUAUGGGGGGACCAUCCUCCAAGGCUAAAUACUCCUGACUGACCGAUAGUGAACCAGUACCGUGAGGGAAAGGCGAAAAGAACCCCGGCGAGGGGAGUGAAAAAGAACCUGAAACCGUGUACGUACAAGCAGUGGGAGCACAGGUUUACCUGUGUGACUGCGUACCUUUUGUAUAAUGGGUCAGCGACUUAUAUUCUGUAGCAAGGUUAACCGAAUAGGGGAGCCGGAGGGAAACCGAGUCUUAAUUGGGCGUUAAGUUGCAGGGUAUAGACCCGAAACCCGGUGAUCUAGCCAUGGGCAGGUUGAAGGUUGGGUAACACUAACUGGAGGACCGAACCGACUAAUGUUGAAAAAUUAGCGGAUGACCUGUGGCUGGGGGUGAAAGGCCAAUCAAACCGGGAGAUAGCUGGUUCUCCCCGAAAGCUAUUUAGGUAGCGCCUCGUGAAUUCAUCUCCGGGGGUAGAGCACUGUUUCGGCUAGGGGGCCAUCCCGGCUU
rnacentral:rRNA from 1 species